rnacentral:rRNA from 1 species
UAUUAAAGGCAAUGCCUGCCCAGUGAGAACUUCUUCAACGGCCGCGGUACCCUAACCGUGCAAAGGUAGCGUAAUCAUUUGUCUAUUAAUUGUAGACCAGUAUGAAAGGCCACAUGAGAGUCAAACUGUCUCUUGUAAUCAAUCAAUUAAACUGAUCUCCCAGUACAAAAGCUGGAAUAUACAUAUAAGACCAGAAGACCCUGUGAAGCUUAAACUAACCUAUUAAACCUUAUAAUAGGUACUUUCAGUUGGGGCGACUUUGGAACAAAACAGAACUUCCAAACAACAUGAGCCAUCCCUCAUACCAAGGCCAACAAGCCAUUACAAGACCCAGUAACACUGAUAAUUGAACCAAGUUACUCCAGGGAUAACAGCGCCAUCUUCUUCAAGAGCCCAUAUCAAAAAGAAGGUUUACGACCUCGAUGUUGGAUCAGGACACCCAAAUGGUGCAGCCGCUAUUAAAGGUUCGUUUGUUCAACGAUUAACAGUCCU